rnacentral:rRNA from 1 species
ACGCUCGACACCUACGGAGGCAGCAGUGGGGAAUAUUGCACAAUGGGGGAAACCCUGAUGCAGCGACGCCGCGUGAGCGAAGAAGUAUUUCGGUAUGUAAAGCUCUAUCAGCAGGGAAGAAAAUGACGGUACCUGACUAAGAAGCCCCGGCUAACUACGUGCUAGCAGCCGCGGUAAUCUGAGCGGCUGGCAAGGC